GACUACGGGAGGCUGCAGUGAGGAAUAUUGGUCAAUGGGCGCGAGCCUGAACCAGCCAAGUAGCGUGAAGGAUGACUGCCCUACGGGUUGUAAACUUCUUUUAUAAAGGAAUAAAGUGAGGCACGUGUGCCUUUUUGUAUGUACUUUAUGAAUAAGGAUCGGCUAACUCCGUGCCAGCAGCCGCGGUAAUACGGAGGAUCCGAGCGUUAUCCGGAUUUAUUGGGUUUAAAGGGAGCGUAGAUGGGUUGUUAAGUCAGUUGUGAAAGUUUGCGGCUCAACCGUAAAAUUGCAAUUGAUACUGGCAGCCUUGAGUACAGUUGAGGUAGGCGGAAUUCGUGGUGUAGCGGUGAAAUGCUUAGAUAUCACGAAGAACUCCGAUUGCGAAGGCAGCUUACUAAACUGCCACUGACAUUGAUGCUCGAAAGUGUGGGUAUCAAACAGGAUUAGAUACCCCUGUAGUC
rnacentral:rRNA from 1 species